rnacentral:rRNA from 1 species
GAAUGCUGCGGUGAAUGCGUUCCCGGGUCUUGUACACACCGCCCGUCACACCACGGGAGUUGGAGACGCCCGAAGCCGAUUAUCUAACCUUUUGGAAGAAGUCGUCGAAGGUGGAAUCAAUAACUGGGGUGAAGUCGUAACAAGGUAGCCGUAUCGGAAGGUGCGGCUGGAUCACCUCCUUUCUAAGGAGAAUU